GGUGAGGGGAGUGAAAUAGAACCUGAAACCUUGUACGUACAAGCAGUGGGAGCCCCAUCACUUAAUCCGAUUGGAAGGUGAUGAAAAGCAACCGCACUUAAACAAUGGUAAGAGGAGCGAAGCGAGUCAAACCACCCAAAAAAAGAAGCAGUGGGAUUAAGUGAUGGGGUGACUGCGUACCUUUUGUAUAAUGGGUCAGCGACUUAUAUUUUGUAGCGAGG
rnacentral:rRNA from 1 species